ACCAGACUCCUACGGGAGGCAGCAGUGGGGGAUAUUGCACAAUGGGGGGAACCCUGAUGCAGCGACGCCGCGUGGGUGAAGAAGUAUUUCGGUAUGUAAAGCCCUAUCGGCAGGGAAGAAAUUGGACGGUACCUGACUAAGAAGCCCCGGCUAACUACGUGCCAGCAGCCGCGGUAAUACGUAGGGGGCAAGCGUUAUCCGGAUUCACUGGGUGUAAAGGGAGCGUAGACGGCCAUGCAAGCCUGGAGUGAAAGCCCGGGGCCCAACCCCGGGACUGCUCUGGGAACUGUGCGGCUGGAGUGCGGGAGGGGCAGGCGGAAUUCCUGGUGUAGCGGUGAAAUGCGUAGAUAUCAGGAGGAACACCGGCGGCGAAGGCGGCCUGCUGGACCGCGACUGACGUUGAGGCUCGAAAGCGUGGGGAGCAAACAGGAUUAGAUACCCUGGUAC
rnacentral:rRNA from 1 species